rnacentral:misc_RNA from 1 species
GAUGAAGAACGUAGCGAAAUGCGAUAAGUAAUGCGAAUUGCAGAAUCCGUGAGUCAUCGAAUCUUUGAACGCACAUUGCGCCCCUUGGUUAUUCCGAAGGGCAUGCCUGUUCGAGCGUCAUUAUCACCCCUCAAGCCCUGGCUUGGUGUUGGACUUUAGUUAUAGCUUUGCCUAUCAACUGGUCUCAAAGAUAGUGACAGCGCCCCAGAGGGAACCGGGUACGAGGAGCUUUUUACUAAGCAUGUAUCUGGGACGACUCUGGGCGACGGUCUUGUUAUACUUUUUACCUAAGUGUUGACCUCGGAUCAGGUAGGAAUACCCGCUGAACUUAAGCAUAUCAAUAAGCGGAGGA